rnacentral:misc_RNA from 1 species
GAUGAAGAACGUAGUGAAAUGCGAUAAGUAAUGUGAAUUGCAGAAUUCAGUGAAUCAUCGAAUCUUUGAACGCACAUUGAGCCCGCCAGUAUUCUGGCGGGCAUGCCUGUCUGAGCGUCAUUUCAACCCUCAUGCCCCUAGGGCGUGGUGUUGGGGAUCGGCCAAAGCCCGCGAGGGACGGCCGGCCCCUAAAUCUAGUGGCGGACCCGUCGUGGCCUCCUCUGCGAAGUAGUGAUAUUCCGCAUCGGAGAGCGACGAGCCCCUGCCGUUAAACCCCCAACUUUCCAAGGUUGACCUCAGAUCAGGUAGGAAUACCCGCUGAACUUAAGCAUAUCAAUAAGCGGAGGA